AAGAGGCCUUAUAGCUCUAUCUUGCACUCCUAGGACCUCUUCAAAGUCCUCUGACCUUCCUUAAUGAUAAUCUUCAUCCAUGCGACACUUUUUAAUAGAACUAAGGAGUCAUCAAGCACCUCGAGCAUCUUCAAUAUCUUAUAUAAAGGUUCGGGCAAAAUUUGGAUUGUAUCACAACGCUUUUUUUCUCUCCAUCUAAGAUAAAGAGCAUCCGAAAGAGCAAUCUUCAAGGUUUAGAAUAUCUGUCCUUCUUCAAAAGUUAAUACUAUGGAUAAAUUUUCACAUAAGGUGUAAGAAAGUGAUUUUGGACUAUUCAACGCAUAAGAUAGGAACAUUUGGAAGUAGGCAUGACUUAAAUUAUUUUACAUGUAAUUUUUGUACUUAAUCCAUAUCAUUGGUACUUUUUAUAUUUGUAAACAUUGAUGGAUUUAAUUUUGAAUAUAUAUUACGAAGACCGCUAUGAUCCUAUAUUGGUAGUAUCA